rnacentral:rRNA from 1 species
CCCUUAGAUGUUCUGGGCCGCACGCGUGCUACACUGACGAAUUCAACGAGUUACUUCCUUGACCGAUGGGUCUGGGUAAUCUUUUGAAAUUUCGUCGUGCUGGGGAUUGAUGCUUGUAAUUUUUCAUCAUGAACGAGGAAUUCCUUGUAAAUGUCAGUCAUCAUCUGGCGUUGAAUACGUCCCUGCCCUUUGUACACACCGCCCGUCGCUUCUACCGAUUGGAUGGUCCGGUGAGGCCUUUGGACCGAGACUGUGUUGGGGCAACCCGCGCUGUUUUGGAAAAUUGGUCAAACCUUAUCAUCUAGAGGAAGAAGAAGUCGUAACA